rnacentral:rRNA from 1 species
UACGAAGGGGGCUAGCGUUGCUCGGAAUCACUGGGCGUAAAGGGUGCGUAGGCGGGUCUUUAAGUCAGGGGUGAAAUCCUGGAGCUCAACUCCAGAACUGCCUUUGAUACUGAAGAUCUUGAGUUCGGGAGAGGUGAGUGGAACUGCGAGUGUAGAGGUGAAAUUCGUAGAUAUUCGCAAGAACACCAGUGGCGAAGGCGGCUCACUGGCCCGAUACUGACGCUGAGACGCGAAAGCGUGGGGGAGCAAACAGG